rnacentral:rRNA from 1 species
AGAGUUUGAUCCUGGCUCAGGACGAACGCUGGCGGCGUGCCUAACACAUGCAAGUCGAACGAAGUAUGUUUUUCGGAAUAUACUUAGUGGCGGACGGGGGAGUGGCGGACGGGUGAGUAACGCGUGAACAAUCUACCCUAUACAAAGGAAUAGCCUCGGGAAACUGGGAUUAAAACCAUAUAAAACUAUAGUGUCGCAUGACACAAUAGUCAAAUUGAUUAAGAGGUAUAGGAUGAGUUCGCGUCUGAUUAGCUAGUUGGUGAGGUAAUGGCUCACCAAGGCGACGAUCAGUAGCCGGCCUGAGAGGGUGAACGGCCACACUGGAACUGAGACACGGUCCAGACUCCUACGGGAGGCAGCAGUGGGGAAUAUUGCACAAUGGGCGAAAGCCUGAUGCAGCGACGCCGCGUGAGUGAAGAAGGUCUUCGGAUCGUAAAACUCUGUCCUAGGGGAAGAAAAUGACGGUAGCCACAAAGGAAGCACCGGCUAACUCCGUGCCAGCAGCCGCGGUAAUACGGAGGUGGCGAGCGUUAUUCGGAAUCAUUGGGCGUAAAGCGUGCGUAGGUGGCCCUAUCAGUUAGGGGUAAAAGGCAAUAGCUCAACUAUUGUGAGCAUUAGGAACUGUAAGACUUGAGUGCAGGAGAGGAAAGCGGAAUUCCUAGUGUAGGGGUGAAAUCCUUAGAUAUUACACAGAACACCCGUGGCGAAGGCGACCUCCUGGCCCAAUACUGACACUGAGGCGCGAAAGUGUGGGGAGCAAACAGGAUUAGAUACCCUGGUAGUCCACGCCGUAAACGAUGAAUGCUAGGUGUCGGGGGUCAAAGCCCGGUGCCGCAGCUAACGCAAUGAGUAUCCCGCCUGGGGAGUACGGCCGCAAGGCUGAAACUCAAAGGAAUUGACGGGGACCCGCACAAGCAGCGGAGCAUGUGGUUUAAUUCGAAGCAACGCGAAGAACCUUACCAGGUCUUGACAUCCCUCUGAAUGGCGCUUUGGAACGCAGGAUUCCUUUCGGGGCAAGGAGACAGGUGGUGCAUGGUUGUCGUCAGCUCGUGUCGUGAGAUGUUGGGUUAAGUCCCGCAACGAGCGCAACCCUUAUCAUUAGUUGCCAGCGGGUAAUGCCGGGAACUCUAAUGAGACUGCCGGGGAUAACUCGGAGGAAGGUGGGGACGACGUCAAAUCAUCAUGCCCCUUAUGUCUUGGGCUACACACGUGCUACAAUGGCCGGUACAAAGGGCUGCAAACCCGUAAGGGGGAGCGAAUCCCAUAAAGCCGGUCUCAGUUCGGAUCGUGGGCUGCAACCCGCCCACGUGAAGCCGGAGUUGCUAGUAAUCGCGAAUCAGCAUGUCGCGGUGAAUGCGUUCCCGGGUCUUGUACACACCGCCCGUCACACCAUGGGAGUUGGGAGCGCCCGAAGCCAGUGAGCUAACCAGCAAUGGAGGCAGCUGUCGAAGGCGAGAUCAAUGACUGGGGUGAAGUCGUAACAAGGUAACC